UACGAGGGGGGCAAGCGUUGUUCGGAAUUACUGGGCGUAAAGCGUGCGCAGGCGGUUCUAUAAGACAGAUGUGAAAUCCCCGGGCUCAACCUGGGAACUGCAUUUGUGACUGUAGAGCUGGAGUACGGCAGAGGGGGAUGGAAUUCCGCGUGUAGCAGUGAAAUGCGUAGAUAUGCGGAGGAACACCGAUGGCGAAGGCAAUCCCCUGGGCCUGUACUGACGCUCAUGCACGAAAGCGUGGGGAGCAAACAGG
rnacentral:rRNA from 1 species